GUAAUGUGUGCUUAUGCCACUGACAGGGUCUUCUUUGAAGUCAACUCUGAGUAUGUAAAAACUCCACAUUUCCGAUAAAAUCAGGAUUGUCUUUUUAGCUUGGUGAUACAAGUACUUUUGUACAGGAAAAGUGAAGCUGAUAGCAGAGGGGUUUAAGGAGUCCAGAUAAAAAGUGGGAACUACUGAGAGGGGUCUGGCUUCCUCCUCUUCAUUCCCUCCCAUCAAGUAUUUAUACACAUUGAUGAUCGCUCCCUGAGCCUUCUCUCUUCUGGACUGAAGAGUUCCAGCUGUCUCAACUUCUCCUUUUAUGAAAGACACUCCAGUCCUUUAAUCACCUGCACAGGACUCACUCCAAUAAUGAAAGCAACAUAAAGGGAGGAAGUGAUAAAAAGAGUUUUUUGGCAGAAAAUCCUCUAGAACAGGAAGAAGAUAAUGUUUUGUGAAAUGUACCUUAAGCAAUGAGAAGGACAGUGUGUAACUCAUCAGCCAGGCUUCAACCAGCAAGCAAUCACUACAGCUAUUGUGUCCAAUUAUCCAUCAUAAAAAUCACCAUUUUCUUCAGAGAAGGAGGAGGAUGUAUUUUUUGUCAACUGCUGAUGUUUAGUGAUUAAGCCAAAAGUAGUACCAAAUGCACACAAUUGUAUUUGUCAGAGUAUAAAGUAAAGGUAAAAAAACCUUUAUGUUUUCUGACUGUGCCAGUAUAUUCAUUCUCGGUUACCUGCUUCAUUCAUGAGGAGGGAAGCAGUCCCUCAUACACAAAAUAGAACAUUCUGGUAGUGCGAGCUGUGUAUAAAUAAUUAACACAAUGAAUUAUUUUGAGACGUGCUUACUCUUGCUCUAUUUUAAAGGUUAAACGGCACCCUAGCACUUACAAGCUUAAAUCCACAAAAGACUAUUGGAUCCUCU